rnacentral:rRNA from 1 species
UCAGGAUGAACGCUGGCGGCGUGCCUAAUACAUGCAAGUCGAGCGAACAGACGAGGAGCUUGCUCCUCUGACGUUAGCGGCGGACGGGUGAGUAACACGUGGAUAACCUACCUAUAAGACUGGGAUAACUUCGGGAAACCGGAGCUAAUACCGGAUAAUAUAUUGAACCGCAUGGUUCAAUAGUGAAAGACGGUUUUGCUGUCACUUAUAGAUGGAUCCGCGCCGCAUUAGCUAGUUGGUAAGGUAACGGCUUACCAAGGCAACGAUGCGUAGCCGACCUGAGAGGGUGAUCGGCCACACUGGAACUGAGACACGGUCCAGACUCCUACGGGAGGCAGCAGUAGGGAAUCUUCCGCAAUGGGCGAAAGCCUGACGGAGCAACGCCGCGUGAGUGAUGAAGGUCUUCGGAUCGUAAAACUCUGUUAUUAGGGAAGAACAAAUGUGUAAGUAACUAUGCACGUCUUGACGGUACCUAAUCAGAAAGCCACGGCUAACUACGUGCCAGCAGCCGCGGUAAUACGUAGGUGGCAAGCGUUAUCCGGAAUUAUUGGGCGUAAAGCGCGCGUAGGCGGUUUUUUAAGUCUGAUGUGAAAGCCCACGGCUCAACCGUGGAGGGUCAUUGGAAACUGGAAAACUUGAGUGCAGAAGAGGAAAGUGGAAUUCCAUGUGUAGCGGUGAAAUGCGCAGAGAUAUGGAGGAACACCAGUGGCGAAGGCGACUUUCUGGUCUGUAACUGACGCUGAUGUGCGAAAGCGUGGGGAUCAAACAGGAUUAGAUACCCUGGUAGUCCACGCCGUAAACGAUGAGUGCUAA